AUUGAACGCUGGCGGCAGGCCUAACACAUGCAAGUCGAGCGGAUGAAGGGAGCUUGCUCCUGGAUUCAGCGGCGGACGGGUGAGUAAUGCCUAGGAAUCUGCCUGGUAGUGGGGGAUAACGUCCGGAAACGGGCGCUAAUACCGCAUACGUCCUGAGGGAGAAAGUGGGGGAUCUUCGGACCUCACGCUAUCAGAUGAGCCUAGGUUGGAUUAGCUAGUUGGUGGGGUAAAGGCCUACCAAGGCGACGAUCCGUAACUGGUCUGAGAGGAUGAUCAGUCACACUGGAACUGAGACAUGGUCCAGACUCCUACGGGAGGCAGCAGUGGGGAAUAUUGGACAAUGGGCGAAAGCCUGAUCCAGCCAUGCCGCGUGUGUGAAGAAGGUCUUCGGAUUGUAAAGCACUUUAAGUUGGGAGGAAGGGCAGUAAGUUAAUACCUUGCUGUUUUGACGUUACCAACAGAAUAAGCACCGGCUAACUUCGUG
rnacentral:rRNA from 1 species